rnacentral:lncRNA from 1 species
AUCCGUCAUGCGGAAAGGCCCUAUUACCCAAUCGAGGAUCUUCGCAGGAAGAACCGACCUGAGAACCUGGAUUGAGGACCGCAUGUCCUCCUUGAUUCGACCCUCAACUUGACCAUCUUAUAGCGCGUUGAGGGAUGACGACGAUCGGUUUAUAGCCGGUCGCGACGUUUCUGUCUUUGUAUCUCCUUCUUCCUUAAACUUUCCUUUUGUAUAUUUGAAUGUUUCGCUCCAUCUCGCUUCCUUGUCAGCUAUCUUCCCAAAUUUAACCUGUUUGCUGGGUUAAACCCCGGCUCUUUCUCUCCCACUUCAUCUUCUUUUUUCUCUAUCCCUUU